rnacentral:lncRNA from 1 species
UUGUGUGUACUCUCAUGACUUGUUGAUGUGUUUGUAUUAUUGCUUGGAAUCAUUGAGUUUCUCUUUUUUGCAAUUGGUGUUUGGAUUAAGGUUAAGUUUUCAGUGUUAGCUUCAUCUCAUUGAAAGGACAAAACAACCUUCUAAUAGAUGGUGUUAAUAUUUUAUUUUUUAUAAGUUCAUUAUUCAACUUUAUAAAAAGAUAUGCAUCUCC